GACGAACGCUGGCGGCGUGCCUAACACAUGCAAGUCGAGCGAGGAGAGUUCCUUCGGGAACAAACCUAGCGGCGGACGGGUGAGUAACACGUGGGCAACCUGCCUUGUAGAGGGGAAUAGCCUUCCGAAAGGAAGAUUAAUACCGCAUAAUAUUACAGUUUCGCAUGAAACAGUAAUUAAAGGAGCAAUCCGCUACAAGAUGGGCCCGCGGCGCAUUAGCUAGUUGGUGAGGUAACGGCUCACCAAGGCGACGAUGCGUAGCCGACCUGAGAGGGUGAUCGGCCACAUUGGGACUGAGACACGGCCCAGGCUCCUACGGGAGGCAGCAGUGGGGAAUAUUGCACAAUGGGGGAAACCCUGAUGCAGCAACGCCGCGUGAGUGAUGAAGGUUUUCGGAUCGUAAAGCUCUGUCUUCGGGGACGAUAAUGACGGUACCCGAGGAGGAAGCCACGGCUAACUACGUG
rnacentral:rRNA from 1 species